CAUAUCACUAAGCGGAGAAAAAGAAAAUAACAAUGAUUCCUAGAGUAACGGCGAGUGAAAUAGGAAAAGCCCAUAGCCGAAUUCUGCUGUCCUCGAUGGCAGCUAGAAGUUGUGGCGUUGGGAACUGCCUACUUGUAACCGAUCGGCCGGGCUACGCGACUCCUCUUGAUUGUGGUUUGCCCAUAGCAGGUGAAAGGCCUAUUGGCCGUAGCCUCGUGCUGAAGGCCGGCGGUGAUGGCAGUCCUUAGAGUCGGUUUGUUUGGGAUUGCAGACCGAAGUAGGUGGUAAACUCCACCUAAGGCUAAAUACGAUCGCGAGUCCGAUAGCGCACAAGUACCGUGAGGGACAGUUGAAAAGAACUUUGAAGAGAGAGUUCAAAGUACGUGAAACCGUUCAGAGGUAAACGGGUAGAAAGUCGAAUUGAAAGUUGACAAUCAAACCGUUGGUCAAGUCGGGGUUGGGCUGGUAAUACGUUAAAGGUURCCAGUUUACUCGUAUGGCUGGCUACGGUUGUAUUUGUUGACUUUGGAUCGCCGCAACGGCAGUGACUGACCGGCUGGCGUCUAUUCCUCUGGUUGAUGUAGAUCCGUAUGGGUCUUGUAUAAAACGUCAGCACAUGGAUAGGCGUCCCGCGUACAUGGCACAGUCGAUAAUGAACAGUAGCUUAAGCGUUCCAUCUGGUUAUCCGUUCGUUUUGUAUUGGCGGUUUGAUCUUAAACAAGUUCAGCCGUUGAUAUCAGGGCGGCGGUGGCUGGUUUAAUGACGGAACAAAGGCUACAUUGGCGGCGUUAGACUACGAAUUGUCUACCUGACCCGUCUUGAAACACGGACCAAGGAGUCUAACAUGUGCGCGAGCCAUUGGGAUUGAUUUWUAAUAACGAUACCCAAAGGCAAAGUGAAAGCAAAAAUGGUGAGAUCUGUCGUUAAUUUGUUAAAGCAAAUAACGGCGGCGCAUCAUCGUCACGCCUCAUAACGGCUUCGGCUGUAGAGGCGCAGACUGAGCGCACAGGUUGGGACCCGAAAGAUGGUGAACUAUGCGAGGCGAGGUCGAAGCCAGAGGAAACUCUGGUGGAGGACUGUAGCGGUUCUAACGUGCAAAUUGAUCGUCGCAGCUUCGUAUAGGGGCGAAAGACUAAUCGAACCAUCUAGUAGCUGGUUCCCUCCGAAGUUUCCCUCAGGAUAGCUGGCACUUUCGGAGAGCAGUUUUGUCCGGUAAAGCGAAUGAUUAGAGGCCUUGGGGACAUAACGACCUCAACCUAUUCUCAAACUUUGAAUGGGCAAGAA
rnacentral:rRNA from 1 species